UAAUGGUGUUGUCAGGACAGCAAAGUUCCAUGGAUGGUAUGGAUGAACAGAUGAGAAAACAUACCAUAGAGGAGCCCCUGACGAUGAAAGGUCAAGAAAUGGGUAUGGCCACCUGAAGAAUAUGGAAACAUGAUUACAACGUUUAGAGUGUAUACUUAAUAAAAUGGCACAAUGAAGGGGACCAAGACAUUCCAUUACAUUGCUUUAGUGUAAACGGCAGGGGAGAACCUACCAGGAUAUAGCUCCACAAGCAUGAAGGACCCAUUGGAAGGUUACAUAGGAGCAGCUCCAAAAUACAAAGAAAGCCAGGCGGUACCAGGGGAAGGGC